AACGAACGCUGGCGGCAGGCCUAAAACAUGCAAGUCGAACGAACCGUUUACGGUGAGUGGCGCACGGGUGAGUAACACGUGGGAAUAUACAUUUCGGUAAGGAAUAACGUAGAGAAAUUUACGCUAAUACCUUAUAAAGACUACGGUCCAAAGAUUUAUCGCCGAAGGAUUAGCCCGCGUUGGAUUAGGUAGUUGGUGAGGUAUGGCUCACCAAGCCUACGAUCUAUAGCUGGUCUUAGAGGAUGAUCAGCCACACUGGGACUGAGACACGGCCCAGACUCCUACGGGAGGCAGCAGUUAGGAAUAUUGCGCAAUGGGGGAAACCCUGACGCAGCCAUGCCGCGUGAGUGAAGAAGGCCUUAGGGUUGUAAAGCUCUUCAGAUGGAAAGAUAAUGACGGUACCAUAAGAAGAAGCUCCGGCUAAAUUCGUGCCAGCAGCCGCCGUAA
rnacentral:rRNA from 1 species